AGGGCACCACCAGGAGUGGAGCCUGCGGCUUAAUUUGACUCAGCACGGGGAAACUUACCCGGCCUGGACAGUGGAAGGAUUGACAGAUUGAGAGCUCUUUCUUGAUUCAGUGGGUGGUGGUGCAUGGCCGUUCUUAGUUGGUGGAGCGAUUUGUCUGGUUAAUUCCGAUAACGAACGAGACUCUAGCCUAUUAAAUAGGCUCCCGGCUUUUAAACGCCGGGAGGACUUCUUAGAGGGACAGGUGGCGGUUCAGCCGCACGAAAGAGAGCAAUAACAGGUCUGUGAUGCCCUUUGUUGUCCGGGGCCGCACGCGCGCUACACUGAAGAGAUCAGCGUGCUUUAUGUUCCUGCUCCGACCGGAGUGGGGAACCCAGUGAACCUUCUUCGUGACUGGGAUAGAAGAUUGUAAUUAUUCUUCUUGAACGAGGAAUUCCCAGUAAAUGCGAGUCAUAAGCUCGCGUUGAUUACGUCCUUGCCCUUUGUACACACCGCCCGUCGCUACUACCGAUUGAACGAUUU
rnacentral:rRNA from 1 species